GGGCCCGCACAAGCGGUGGAGUAUGUGGUUUAAUUCGAUGCAACGCGAAGAACCUUACCAGGGUUUGACAUCCUGCGAAUUUCUGGGAAACCGGAAAGUGCCUUCGGGAGCGCAGUGACAGGUGGUGCAUGGCUGUCGUCAGCUCGUGUCGUGAGAUGUUGGGUUAAGUCCCGCAACGAGCGCAACCCACGUCUUUAGUUGCCAGCAUUUAGUUGGGCACUCUAGAGAGACCGCCGGUGAUAAACCGGAGGAAGGUGUGGAUGACGUCAAGUCAUCAUGCCCCUUACAUCCUGGGCUACACACGUACUACAAUGCUACGGACAAAGGGCAGCAAACUCGCGAGAGCUAGCAAAUCCCAUAAACCGUGGCUCAGUUCAGAUCGUAGGCUGCAACUCGGCCCCGUGAAGCUGGAAUCGCUAGUAAUCGGAUAU
rnacentral:rRNA from 1 species